CCUACGGGAGGCAGCAGUGGGGAAUAUUGCACAAUGGGGGAAACCCUGAUGCAGCGACGCCGCGUGGGUGACGAAGUAUUUCGGUAUGUAAAGCCCUAUCAGCAGGGAAGAAGAUGACAGUACCUGACUAAGAAGCCCCGGCUAACUACGUGCCAGCAGCCGCGGUAAUACGUAGGGGGCAAGCGUUAUCCGGAUUUACUGGGUGUAAAGGGAGCGUAGGUGGCAUGGCAAGCCAGAAGUGAAAACCCGGGGCUUAACCCCGCGGAUUGCUUUUGGAACUGUCAGGCUGGAGUGCAGGAGGGGCAGGCGGAAUUCCUGGUGUAGCGGUGAAAUGCGUAGAUAUCAGGAGGAACACCGGUGGCGAAGGCGGCCUGCUGGACUGUAACUGACACUGAGGCUCGAAAGCGUGGGGAGCAAACAGGAUUAGAUACCCCAGUAGUC
rnacentral:rRNA from 1 species